CAACCUCCCUAUACUUCCCCCCCAAAAGAAAAAGAACAGCAAGAAGCAAUUGAACAUACUGAUGAAGUACAAAAUGAAAUAGACAGACUUAAAGAACAAGCCAGUGAGGAGAUCUUGAAAGCAGAACAGAAAUAUAAUAAACUCCACCAACCAUUUUUUUCAGAAGAGGUCAGAAUUGAUCACCAAAAUCCCAAAUUUUGGGGGAACAACAUUCGUCAACCAUCCGCAAGUGUCUGCACUGCUUGGGGAGGAAGAUGAAGAGGUGCUGCAUUAUUUGACCAGAGUUGAAGUGACAGAAUUUGAAGAUAUUAAAUCAGGUUACAGAAUUGAUUUUUAUUUUGAUGAAAAUCCUUAUUUUGAAAAUAAAGUUCUUUCCAAAGAAUUUCAUCUGAAUGAGAAUGGUGAUCCAUCUUCAAAGUCCACUGAAAUCCAAUGGAAAUCUGGAAAGGAUUUGAUGCAACGUUCAAGUCCAACACAGGAUAAAGCCAGCAGGAAGAGGCGGCAUGAGGAACCAGAGAGCUUCUCUACCUGGUUGACUGACCAUUCUGAUGCAGGUACAGGUGAGUUAGGAGAAGCCAUCAAAGAUGAUAUUUGGCCAAAUCCAUUACAGGACUAC